rnacentral:rRNA from 1 species
CACUCCUACGGGAGGCAGCAGUGGGGAAUAUUGCACAAUGGGCGCAAGCCUGAUGCAGCCAUGCCGCGUGUAUGAAGAAGGCCUUCGGGUUGUAAAGUACUUUCAGCGGGGAGGAAGGCGAUAAGGUUAAUAACCUUGUUGAUUGACGUUACCCGCAGAAGAAGCACCGGCUAACUCCGUGCCAGCAGCCGCGGUAAUACGGAGGGUGCAAGCGUUAAUCGGAAUUACUGGGCGUAAAGCGCACGCAGGCGGUCUGUCAAGUCGGAUGUGAAAUCCCCGGGCUCAACCUGGGAACUGCAUUCGAAACUGGCAGGCUAGAGUCUUGUAGAGGGGGGUAGAAUUCCAGGUGUAGCGGUGAAAUGCGUAGAGAUCUGGAGGAAUACCGGUGGCGAAGGCGGCCCCCUGGACAAAGACUGACGCUCAGGUGCGAAAGCGUGGGGAGCAAACAGGAUUAGAAACCCGUGUAGUCC